AGCCUCCUGCCGCCUGUUACAUAAACACACACUUAAUCGAUAUGCCCCAUCAAACAAAUUUCAAUUGCUGUAGGGUAUACAAGUUGACGUGAAACGCAUGCGAAUUUGUGUGACAAUGCCAGCAAAAUGAUUGAUUGAUUGAUUGAUGAACUGACCAAAUUGCCGUACAGACAUUAUUGUCGUCCAAUUAAUGCCAUGAUAACAAUCAAAUUUAUGCUAAUCGACGCCAUCAACUGACAUUCAAACUUUUACAAACAUUCAAAUCAAGCAUAAAAUUCGAUACGAAAAAAAAAAACACGAAAAUCAAAAACAAGAAAAAACUGAAAUUCCAUGUACGUUGGGGCACAUGUAUUGCGGUUUUUGCCUUUUUGGCUUCUGAGCGCCACCGCAGCAUCCAUCAAGCGCCGGAGCUGGACACGCCAAAUGCUCUACGAGAUCAAUGCACGUGAAAAUUAAAAAUAAAUAAAUAAAAAAUGAAAAAUAAAAACUAAAAAAGAGUGAAAGUCUAUUAUGUGUGUGCUUGUUAUGGGCAGGCGAGAGCCAUAAGAAAUGCCAGCGACAUCUGCAACACAUCGCAAAACUUUGGACAUCAGCUCAAAAAUCUCUGCUAUGCAUGUCAAAUUAUUUACCAGACUCAGUGUGUGGCAGCGGGCAAUCGAUUGACCACGCCCUUUCAAUAAACUGACUCAGACUCAUGUAUGUCUAUUUAUAGUGCAGAAGACAAUUGAAUUGACUCCAGUGAUUGAUAAUCAACUGACUGCUGAGAUGCCCUACAAAUGGGUUUGAGAGGCGCUGUAGUAAAGUUUUAAAAUCGUGUCGCAUUAGCUCUAUUUCCAUUGUACGCAUUUUAAUCGUAAUGAAAAUCUGUGUCUUUUGAUUGUUGCAACGGAGCCCGGCCUAAUGAUAGACCCGCUCAGCAAAACUGGCUCGAAUGCGCCUUUUAGCUGGAAAUCGAAAUCGUGCCGGCGCGCCAGAGCUUUAAUUAAAGUUGGUCUUAAAGUAACAUGGCCUGCAUUAGAUCGCAGCGACUGGGACAACGCCUAAACCCAACUACAACAACUGUAAUAAACAUAAUAAAAAAAAA